AAAACACAAUUGAUGUAUGAAUUGAUCCAUUCAUCCAGAAAAGACAAAAACAUAUUUAUUUUGCCCUCAAGGGAUAGUGUUACACUGGCGUCUGUAGCACAAAAUAAUACAUUUGUAAUGUGACUGGAAUACCUAGAAUAUAUUAAAGUCCAGUAGCCUUUUUUUCUGUUACAGCAUACAUGCUCUGUAAAGUGCUUGUCCUGUGUUCUCCUUUGAGAACAAUCAUCAAUUUUUAUGUUGUAUAUUUUGGCUUCAUAAAGGUUAUUUUGUAUAAAUUUGAUGGAAUACCAGGGACUAUGUAGAUAGAGACCUUGUUUCAAUACAACCAAUCGAAUUUUAUAUAAAGCCGUAAUGUCAGCGUUCUAUCACUGGCAGAGCAGACGGUCACACUGAGCCAGACAGCAGCUAAACAACACAAGAGCCACAGACUUUGAACAACAACCCCCAUUAACUUUCCUAUUAAAGUCUCCCCCUUAUCUAACUGACAAACCUAAACACGCGUCUUGUCCUGUACCUUGCCUUGUCGAAUGAGCAACCGAAACAAACAUUCACAGGGAGAAGGUGCGCUGCUGACGUCAGUUUGCUGCUCAGCUACAGCACAUUAAACAGCAUGUAAAACGGACCUGAGGUGCUAGUGUGGACCUUCAUUCUUCAAUACCACUAACAACACGACAUCUCUCCAUGACACAAUUCAAAGCGCAAUUAUCUUCAUUUGCCACAGCUAUGAAUGGGGAACCUGAGUCUCUGCUACUUCCAGUUCCUGAAUAUGGAACAAGAUUGGUGUCGAAAACCUGUCUUGCAGCUCGCUCAUGCGUGAGGAGGAGUUGUAUGAAUGUUCUGGUAAGGGGAAAGAAGGAGAUGACAGAUGAUGGAGCAUGAGGGAAGCAAAUCCAACCAUGGAUGUCACCUGUGAGGAAAUCACACAGCAGGGACAUAAAAGGGAUGGUUGCACCGUGCCGAAAUAUUUUUCUCACAUUGUAAGGGCAAAUGUCAGAUAAGAAACAGGAAUGGUAUAGACAAGAAUGUUUACACUAGCAAUCCAAGCGGUGGAGAGGAUUCACAUUUUACGUUGUAUGCUUUGUAGAAUAGCUCCUUUAAUAAUUUACAUGAAUCUUAGCAGUAUAUUGAGACAUUUGUCUUUAUUCUACUACUUCUUCUUUAAUGUUCCUCCUGCUAUAAUGUAAUGUAUAAUCCUUUAAUAUUGCCGCUGCUUUGUUGAAACUGGGGGUGUAUGGUAUGAGUUUUGAUGGGUCAUCAUUCACUCGGCUGCAGUGGAAAUUAUACAUUAGACAGAACAGUAAAAUUCGGUAGUAACAGAAUUCCAGUGGAUUUUUCAAGGGAAACUGAAACGCACUGGUUGAUGGAUUUACUUAACUUUGGCUUUGGAUUUUUGCAGGUGUUACGCUGCACAGAAUAAAUUACUAUGGUGAUUGCA